CCAGCAAAGAGACGUUUCCCCAAUCCAAUCCCCACCGAAUUCCUCCCCAAAUCUGGCCCCCGCGCGCCUCCUCCUCCGCCGCCGCGAUGAUCCAUGGAUUCUGCUCCCUCUUGCUCUCGCUGGUCCUCUCCUCUCUCUCCGCCAUGCCCAUGGAGGCCGUACGUCGGGUCGGUCAGUACUCGGCUCUCUCUGGUUGCACUGAUUACGUAGUACGUGCCUCACGAUGUCACGCAUGGCAUCCCCUUAGCUUCUCCAUUCCAUUUCCAUUUCCAUUGUGGAGUAGCAGCACUAGAUAUACCAACCCAACUAGUUGCAACUACUAGUACUUGCUAAUGUUGUGCUAGGCAUGAAUGCAUGUAUGCGGCAUGCGCUGCCCCAAUUUUAGAUUGUGUAAUUUAUUUCUACUCCAAACGAUCCGAUCGACCUUGUCACCUAAUUAAACCUUUUACGGACCCUUGAUUUUUCAUUCAUCCAAACUCAUGCCCACUUAAUUUCUACAGUGCAUCUCAAUUUCCAUCCAUCAAUCUCUUUCUGCGCUACUAUAUAUGAUUAGCUAGCCCUGCAAUUUGCUCUUAUUUAGGAUAGACCAAAACUGACUUCACAAGUCACAACCAUUAUUUAACUCUGGCUGGCUGGCUGCUUGAUCUUAUUGUGCGCUACAACACUCCAGAGGGGCUACUGCUACUCACUAAUCAUUUUCAAUCUGCAAUGUGGUUUGCCGCCCACUGAGGGGCUACUGCAGCUAUUGGAGGGAGAAAAUGAUCAUGCUCUAACAGGGUGAUUGAGGGUCAUUUAAUUUAAGCUCCAAGCAACAAGUGACUGGAGGCAUCGAUCCAUGCAUUCGCAUGCCAAAGCUGUAUCGCUGGUGGUGCUCCCGUCCAAGCUCCGAGUACAUUAUUUUUCGAGGUACAUGGCAGAUGGCACAGUGAAGAUAUCAUUCCCUCCAAGAUAAGGAUGCAGUUGGUGCCCGGGAAUACUUGGGAAAGCAUAUAUUGUGAUAGCGAAAACCCACUUGGACUGGUGGUCAAUACAGAAAGCUGUGUUUCUUGGGAUUCUACUAUAUCUUGCUUACUUCUUAUUGAUGAGUUUCUGGCUUAUUUCUAGUACUGAGCUAUGUCUCCAGUUCUUUUGCUUUACAGCUACAUACACAAAAUAAGCUUGCAAUUAAUUGAAAAAUGAACCCCCAAUUGAGCAGAGUGGGUUUUGGGCUGAACCACUUGCGCCCCUAGUAAUGCAAUUAAUCUACCUGUUUGUCUGUUAAUUUGCAUCCUUGGGUUUAUCUGAUGACACUAUCUGCAUAUUAUCUACCGUAAUUAAGACUCGUAUUCUCAUAAUACAGCGUAUGAUGUUAUGCUAUUCAGUGUGCCAUAGGAUCAUGACUCUUUUUGCAGUAUGUUGCUCUGAAGUAAUUUAUCAUUAUUGUUUUCUCAUCAUCUUUUUAGUUAGAUCUUGUGGGUUUCAUCUCUAACCUACCCCUAACUUGCUUGGGACAAAAGCUUUGUUGUUGUUGUUGUUGCUGUUGCUCUGAAGUAAUUCACAUUAACUGGAGACAUAAUGUUUCUUGUCUUUUUAAUAAAACAUACUAGAGAUGCAAUUCACUGUCAUAGGAGCAAUGGCCUGAUUUGCACCUACAGGAGUAGAACAAGGGACAACACUGCGUGCCAGUUAUAUCACACCUGUUUUUUCUUGUCCUUUCUUGGUAGAAAGCGGCCUUUUCAAAUAUUACUCCUGUGGUGCAUGGGCAGUUCUUUGUAGACUUGGGAUAGCUUCUUACUAGUCAAAAUAAUCAAGUCACAUUCUCUCACAACAUAUAUGACUUAUGUUAUCCGGUUUUGAUUAGUCUUAGAAAUACUUGUGACCCACAAGUUUUGCUAGAUAUUGAAAAUUAAAGCCCAUUUGACAUAGUUGAAAUUCAUAUGCAUGUUCUAACUAUCUCCAGCUCAUCCUGUCACCAAAUUACCUAUAGAAAUACCUCCUUGCUUCCUGACUAUGAGAAUGCCAUUGAGGCCCUUAGGAAAUAAUCUGACAAAGGCGCAUCGCAUUUGGGGUAUUGUGUUCCUAGUAGUGAGAAAGCUCACCGUUAAGUUCUUCCUACCUAAAAAAAUUGCUAUCUAUGUACAUCUAGUUUGGUUAUGUUUUUCCUGCUGUUCUUCAUUAACAGUGAAAGUCAAUUUGAUUCUGUAGAUGAACCUGCUAAAGAUUGAAGAAUAGGAACAGAAAGAGACCUAUCGGCUCAUCAAAUAGGAACAUGGAUCCUUGAUUACAAAGGAUCUCUAGUGCCAUGUGAAGCAAGCUGAGAAAAAGUCAUGAAGAAUCAGACUGAAGUGCGAAGGAUGGCGAAUAUGGAGGAUGGGCCGUUGCUCUCUGCCCCAAGUCCAACUGAAGGCCAAAGCACUACGAGGAAGAUAAAGCAUGAGGAGGAAAAGGAUUCACCUGAAGCCACACAAGAGGAAAGCAAAAGAAGAUGCAAAGCAAGGCACAUAAAAGCACUGUUCCUCAGCCACACCAAGCAAAGGAUAAGAGAAAGCAGGAUGAUGCCUGCAGAAUCUGAUGACACACAGCUUUGCCCCCUCAUGUCCUUCCAUUGCUCAGUCCCAGGCUUCAUGAUGGACCAAUUCCACCAAGUGGCAUUCAACUUCCCAGGAGUCCUGUGUACGGUCUAACCUUGCUCAGCUAAUAUUCAUCAUUGACGUCUGCAAAUGCGCCUAGAGCUGAGACACAUGGGAUGAUCGGUCUACACCAUAUUUCAGCUUUUGCAAAGAUUCUGUACGGAUCAAUAUCUGGGUGGCACAGGCAUAUUCUUCUCUCAAGCGGGGAAGUGGAAAAUACCAGGUACGACAAUCGUGCAACUUAUGUUGCAUAGGCCUAUCAUCAGAAAUUCUUGGACAAGAAUUUCAUUUGCAUAACUGUCUGAAGCUGAGAUUUUUAUAUAACACCAAAGUAUUCGAAUGCGUUCUUGGGUUCUGUUUUUCAUAUUCAUGGAAUUUCGUGGUAUGUGACAAUAUGUUGUUUCUCUCUCCAAAAUUACCUCUCAAGGUGUUGUGAUUUGAGCCCCCCUCCAACACAGGGAAAAGUAUGGCCAUUCCAGACAUGCAUGCGAAUUGAUAGAGUUUGUUCAGGGACUCCUUUAGCCUUGCUUAAAUGAACGAAAUUCCUGCAGCCUUGCUUACUAUUGUUGUGAAGAUUUUGCUGCAGUUCCUGGUGUUGAACAGGCCUGUGCAGUGGAACAUGGUCGGUGUCCACAUCUGCACCACCUCCAAUGGUAUGUAUGGCUACUUUGUUUAGGUUGCUCAGCUGGUUAGUGUGCCUGUUUGGUUCCUCGAAAGCGCGUCAUUUUCAUGUGAUCCUUAUCUAUAGCUUCCAGAUUCUAACCGUUUGAGAUUUUUUUCUUCUUUUAUCUUGAGAUGAUUGAAACUGUUAUGUUGUCAAAGCACGAUCUUAUUUCACAAAAUCCAGUUGGUUGCUCUGUCAUACGAAUCGAUUCGAAGGGAGAAGGAAGCCUGAAGAUGAGAAGAGCCGAGCCGACCGGCCAAUCACGGAGAGGCGCGAGCGAGCAGGAUCCUGUGCAUGCGCUGCAGCCUGGCCCUGCUCUGUAGGUCUGAACUGAAGAAUGGAAUCAUGUUUCGAUUGUAACCUGCAUGGAUUUGCUUCAUGUAAUUGCACCACCCGCAAUACUCACAGUAUAUGUACUGUACUACCUCCGAUCUUGAAUAUAUAUUCUAAGU